GCGCGGGUGGCUCAAUGGCAACAGCACCACCCGGCUCAGGCUGCCCUCCCCCAGGGGCGGGGGUUCGAAUCCCCCCACGGGCA
rfam:Coccidioides posadasii str. Silveira unplaced genomic scaffold supercont2.26, whole genome shotgun sequence.